GUCCAGACUCCUACGGGAGGCAGCAGUGGGGGAUAUUGCACAAUGGGGGAAACCCUGAUGCAGCGACGCCGCGUGAAGGAAGAAGUAUUUCGGUAUGUAAACUUCUAUCAGCAGGGAAGAAAAUGACGGUACCUGACUAAGAAGCCCCGGCUAACUACGUGCCAGCAGCCGCGGUAAUACGUAGGGGGCAAGCGUUAUCCGGAUUUACUGGGUGUAAAGGGAGCGUAGACGGCGGGGCAAGUCUGGAGUGAAAGGCCGGGGCCCAACCCCGGGACCGCUCUGGAAACUGCCCGGCUGGAGUGCGGGAGAGGUAAGCGGAAUUCCUAGUGUAGCGGUGAAAUGCGUAGAUAUUAGGAGGAACACCAGCGGCGAAGGCGGCUUACUGGACCGUGACUGACGUUGAGGCUCGAAAGCGUGGGGAGCAAACAGGAUUAGAUACCCGAGUAA
rnacentral:rRNA from 1 species